UACGAAGGGUGCAAGCGUUACUCGGAAUUACUGGGCGUAAAGGGUGCGUAGGUGGUUCUUUAAGUCUGCUGUGAAAGCCCCGGGCUCAACCUGGGAAUGGCAGUGGAUACUGGAGAGCUAGAGUGCGGUAGAGGGUAGUGGAAUUCCAGGUGUAGCGGUGAAAUGCGUAGAUAUCUGGAGGAACACCGGUGGCGAAGGCGACAUCCUGGACCGGUAUUGACGCUGAGGCGCGAAAAGCCAGGGGAGCAAAGCGGG
rnacentral:rRNA from 1 species